GGCCAAUUGCUUUCGGAAUUGCUUUCUUUCCUGAAGUCUGAGGUCCCCUUCCUGUCUGAGGUCCCCUUCCUGUCUGAGGUCCUGUUCUUGCCUGAGCUCCCCUUCCUUUCUGAAGUCCACUUCCUGUCUGAGGUCCCCUUCCUUCCUGAAGUCCACUUCCUGUCUGAGGUCGCCUUCCUUCCUGAAGUC